UACGUAGGGGGCAAGCGUUGUCCGGAUUUAUUGGGCGUAAAGAGCGUGUAGGCGGCCAAACAGGUCAGCUGUGAAAACUCGAGGCUCAACCUCGAGACGUCGGUUGAAACCGUUUGGCUAGAGUCCGGAAGAGGAGAGUGGAAUUCUCGGUGUAGCGGUGAAAUGCGUAGAUAUCGAGAGGAACACCUGCGGCGAAGGCGGGUUGCUGGGCUGACACUGACGCUGAGGCGCGAAAGCGUGGGGAGCGAACAGG
rnacentral:rRNA from 1 species